rnacentral:lncRNA from 1 species
AGCCUCUGUUUUUCCCUGAUGAAGCCACAGUCGACACGGAGCCGCUGUUUGAAACGAUGGAAGGAAAGAUGGGCGAGUUCAUUGCUGAGUUGCGGCAGCACACCGACACACUCCUCAGCACCGUCUGUGAAUUUGAGGGAAGAGAUGCUGAGGAGGAGGAGGAGGAUGAGGAGGAGGAGGAUGAUGAUGAGGAGGGUGAGGAGGAGGUGAGGAGUGAGGAAGAUGAGGAGGCGGAGGGUGAUGAGGAGGAGGGUGAGGAGGAGCUUGAAGGUGAAUUUGAGGGAAGAGAUGCUGAGGAGGAAGAGGAGGAGGAUGAAGAUGAUGAUGAAGAGGAUGAGGAGGAUGAAGAUGAGGAGGAGGAGGAGGAGGGUGAGGAGGAGAUGAGGAGUGAGGAAGAAGAGCAGCAGAACCUCACUGACUCUGGAGAUGAAGAAUAUUCACCGGAGGAGGAAGAGGAUGAGGAAGACUAGCAGAAGAGGAUCUGCUCUUGAGCUCCUGGAGCCGAAGUCUUCAUCUGAAGCAGAACGAGCCGCGUCUCCUGAGAUCUCACAGACAGAGUUCAUGAUGCACGGCACUGUGUGAGAGUCUGCGUUCAUUCCUGGAUAAAGAAGGGUUUAAACAGACACCGAUUGUUCAAUUACACAAAAUAUCACGUCCACGAAGUGACUCUGUGUCACACUCGAGAUUAACCUGAGGAUGAGAACGGUUUUCUGUGAUGUGAACAGACUCUAUAACACUAUUUAUUUGAUCGAGGGGGGAUAAUAAUAACAAUAAUCAUUCAUUAAUCAAUUAAACAAUCCAUUCAGGUAUGUUUAAAGCUCAGGGUACAUUAAUGUCAGUUUGGGACGGGCUCCAUUUGCACUUUUCCCCAAGCUCCAGUAUAUUCAGCUUUUUCUGUCAAGAUGAUGAUGAUGGGAGGGAAAAAAGAAGAAAUUGUGCUGGAAAAUAUAUAAUAAAAUAUAGUUUCAUAACUUACAAAAAACAACCGUUUGGUGGCCAAAUCAUUUAUUAUCUUUAUUUUGUGUUUUUAUUAACAUCUAAAUAUCUGCAGACGCUUGGAAGCAAAAAACAAAAAAAAGGAUUGCUUUGAGUUUAAGCGAAAUACAAGAAUAUGAAACAAAAGCAACGAUUCAAACCCAGAGCUGGUGCUCGCACUUCAUGAAUAUAAGAACACAGAAAUACAGCACUAACACAGGCUAGAUACACAAUAAAUGAAGAAGAAAACACAAGCUCAUAAAGAAGAUGAAGAAAAGCUGACAAACGUAGCAUGCCUUUUAUUCAGUUUUAAGUCCUGAAUAUAUUUAUUUAUCCUGAAUAUAUUCUCCAAAAUAUGAAUAACCUCUCAUCUGAGGUACAGUAAUAAGCUGGGAAAUAUUUAGAGCAGUUUUUAUCGUCUCUGUAUUCAGUCAUCUUCUUCUGGGAGGAUAAUAACCUCAUGCUCCACACUAAUAAACUAUAACAGAUUACAUACAGUCUGAGACACAGCUUUGAGUUCACUUGUAAAG